rnacentral:lncRNA from 10 species
CAGGCGGUGGGCAGCCCAAUGGAGAUGCUCCACCCGAGCAGCCGUCCGAGACGGUGGCUGAGUCUGCGGAGGAGGAGCUGCAGCAAGCGGGAGACCAGGAGCUCCUCCACCAGGCCAAAGACUUCGGCAACUAUUUAUUUAACUUUGCAUCUGCUGCCACAAAAAAGAUAACUGAAUCAGUUGCUGAAACAGCACAAACAAUAAAGAAAUCCGUAGAAGAAGGAAAAAUAGAUGGCAUCAUUGACAAGACAAUUAUAGGAGAUUUUCAGAAGGAACAGAAAAAAUUUGUUGAAGAGCAACAUACAAAGAAGUCAGGUAUGGUAUAGGUUUGUCUUAAUUAACCUGCCAGGUUUUAUUGAGCACCUGUUAUGUGCUAGAUACCACACUGAGGGUCUGAGAACACAAAAAUGCAUAUGCAAUGGCCCCAUCCUUUGGGUAGCACAAAGACUAGUGAGGGAGACAAACCCAUAAACUUCCAUGAUUUAAAGGAAGGGACUAGAUUGUUUCUGGGUGAGGGCUGCCAGUGCUGGCCCCACUGGGGAGCUGGCUGUGAAAGGGGCAAGUAAGCUUUCAGUUCUGACUUUCUCUUUUCUUUUCCCCCACC